AGGGGCCAAAACCAGAAUGAUCAGGGGCCAAAACCAGAAUGAUCAGGGGCCAAAACCAGAAUGAUCAGGGGCCAAAACCAGAAUGAUCAGGGGCCAAAACCAGAAUGAUCAGGGGCCAAAACCAGAAUGAUCAGGGGCCAAAACCAGAAUGAUCAGG